UCUAUGACCCAUAAUAAUCGGAUACUAAAAACUACUGUUUAAAAUUCAAAGAACUUGGCGGUGUCUUAUAUAAUCAGGGGAACCUGUCCCUUAAUUCGAUAAUCCACGAAUGAUUAACCUCUCUUGAUAUUCAGCUUAUGUACGGCCGUCGCCAGUAUACCUUAGAAAGAAGUAUACAAGAAUAAAUCUACAGACGUCAGGUCAAAGUGUAGCUAAUGAGAAGGAGGAGAUGGGUUACAAUUUUAAUUAAAAACUGCCCCAUAAUUAUAAUUAUGGUCAAAGUUGGACUUGACAGUAAUAAGUAAUACUAAGUACUUAUGAACUAGAAUCUAAGACAUGCACACAUCGCCCGUCACUCUCAUCGAAAGAAG
rnacentral:rRNA from 1 species